GGUUAAUAUUCCUGUACUUGGUGUUACUGCGAAGGGGGGACGGAGAAGGCUAUGUUGGCCGGGCGACGGUUGUCCCGGUUUAAGCGUGUAGGCUGGUUUUCCAGGCAAAUCCGGAAAAUCAAGGCUGAGGCGUGAUGACGAGGCACUACGGUGCUGAAGCAACAAAUGCCCUGCUUCCAGGAAAAGCCUCUAAGCAUCAGGUAACAUCAAAUCGUACCCCAAACCGACACAGGUGGUCAGGUAGAGAAUACCAAGGCGCUUGAGAGAACUCGGGUGAAGGAACUAGGCAAAAUGGUGCCGUAACUUCGGGAGAAGGCACGCUGAUAUGUAGGUGAAGCGACUUGCUCGUGGAGCUGAAAUCAGUCGAAGAUACCAGCUGGCUGCAACUGUUUAUUAAAAACACAGCACUGUGCAAACACGAAAGUGGACGUAUACGGUGUGACGCCUGCCCGGUGCCGGA
rnacentral:rRNA from 1 species